CGGUCUUUUACGUCGGAACUUGGGAGCGGGUUGCAUCUGCUAGGUUAAUGUAUUGAUUCUCCCGCUGGAACAAUGGGUUUCAGUGUAGCGGAACUGUUACAUGGAGAUGCUAAGAUGCAAAGGUACAUUUCAAAACAUGCCGGACAGUAUUGGCUGGAAAAUGACUUGGUUAAAACCUGAUGAUCUUACCAGCGUUCUGCAGAUUGAUGAAUACUAAUGAAGCUGUGGGUGUCACUGAGCAGCUUCAUUUUAAAGUUACCCUGACUUACAUCUGCUGCAGUAAUUCCGAGGUUUGUGGUAAAUGUCGGUGUGGUGUAGCUUAAUGGAUUUUGGUCUGAUCAGUGAUGAAGCCAAUCCCGAAGCUGGUAACCUGAAGAAACGCAUGUACGGAUUCGGCUUCUGAGACAAGGCUAAUGUGCAGAUUUGAGUAGAAGUUUUACAGCAGAUUCCUGUUGGGUUAUGCCUCAUAGAGGAAAAACUUAAUUCACAGUAGUGGGGUUUUCUCUGCCAACAGUGAGGGGUUGCUGUCUGCCUGUUGAAAGAAGUCGGUGUGCUGUGACAUUUCGAAGGUGGAACCAUUUCUGUGAGUAGAGAUGUUUUGCUUCAAAAUCAGUAAACAUUGUGUCCUUGGUCUUACCUAUGAUGAUCCUAUCCCGAACCUGAAUUUCUGUUGAAAAAACUUAAUACGGAUCUGGCUUCUGAGGUGGACCUUAUAAGGACAACAG